rnacentral:tRNA from 1 species
GUUAGCGUAGCACAAUCCGGCUAUGCAAAAGAUCUAAGCCCUUCUAAUAGAGGUUCAAAUCCUCUCGCUAACU